CCCCCUUCUCAUCUCUUUCUGUGGUGAGUGCUCUGAUGUCCCGAUAUAGAUAAUCUUGAAGUAAUUCUUGAUUCUUAGAUCAACUAGAGAACUCUCAGGAAACUUCCUCUCUUCCAACCAAAAAUAAUUAUAUAAUUAUCCUUGGGCGAUCUUGGAUCUUAAUUAGUACACUCACGUUCCCUGUGGAAAAUCGAUACUCUGGAAUACUCCCGGGUGAAGGCUACAUCGGUAUCCGUGCGCUUGCGGAUUUUUCUGUUUGCGUUUAAAAUACCCAACAAGCUUUCUGGCGCCGUUGCCGGGGAACGGUAGCUGUGCUAGUUUCGAACCAAGUCGUCCGUGUAUCCUUUUUCUUUUCUUUUUUUUACCACACUCACCUUAUCACUUUCACCAUACCACAUGGAUUUCACUCUAAGCAUUAAUGAGCAUGGAAUUUAUUUCAUAGCCACUUCACUUACUCCAUGCUCAUAUGCAACAUCUUCACAAUCUAUUGGUCUCUCCAACAUCACCACAUUCGAGAUCUCCAACCCGCUCUUCCUUUCUAUUCAUAAAAACUUUAAAAGGGCGGUUGUCGAUGCAUAUGUCUAUAAUAAAUUUUGCAGAUCUCGUUGAGUUGAUCUUGAUAUAGGUCAGCGUUGGAGGGGAAACCACUUCACUGACAUAAAUUGAUGGUUUCCCAAGGACAAGCUUAGUGUCCUAAAAUAAGCACUGAUCAGAUCAUAACAUGGGCUUUUAAUUAUUUGCAACAUUACCUUGUGUAUUG
rnacentral:lncRNA from 1 species